GCGUCAGAAUGUGAACUGCAGGACACAUGAACACCGAUACGUUGAACGCAUAUUGCGCGCAUCGGACGUUGCAACCCGAACGAAGCACACAUCCGAGAGCGUUGAC
rnacentral:rRNA from 1 species